ensembl:rRNA 5S_rRNA 5S ribosomal RNA
AGCCACAGCCAUAUCACCCUGCAGCCCAAGACUGGUUGCCCACUGAAGCUAAGCAGGGUUGAGCCUGGUCAGUACCUGGAUGGGAGACCUCCUGGGAAAACUAGGUUGCUGUUGGAA